UUCAUCAGCAGUUGUUACAAGUCCCUGUUGCUGGAGACCAAUGAAAGUAUGGACAUAGGAUGCAGUCUGUUGCUCAGCGCUGAAUUGGUAUUUGUGGCUGGCACUACUCCCUGAGCGAUGGUCAGGCCCCGGAGGUCACAGAGCCGUGUGGGGAGGCUGGCCAGCCUUUCCUAAAGAGAGAAGUAUCCCCAGGGGAAUGUCACUGAUGCCAUGGCCCCCUGGCACGGCGCCUGAGGGAUGUGCAGUUGUAUUUUAGGCGCUCCCUCUGGAAUCAGUGCAGAAAUGGGGAACACAACAGGAAAGCCUUCUCCGAGAGACUCCAGUUUGCCAGGAGAGAGAGAAGAGUUUCCUAGGAAUGCAAGAAGCUGUUUAGUCUGCUGGUUUAUGCGAAUGUCCACUGGAAUAGGCAUCGACUUGCAGCAUUUUUGCUGUCUCAUCUGGAGGGGAAUUCUAGCCAGGGAAUUUGGGAAGUGUGCACAAUUUAUUUUAGUGUUUGUAAUACUUUUGCAAGCUGUGUGCUGCUCAUUAAAGAAUAAAAAAAGCGAGAU